UACAUGGGGUGCAAACGUUGCUCGGAAUCAUUGGGCGUAAAGCGCGCGUAGGCGGUUACUUAUGUCGGAUGUGAAAGCCCUCGGCUUAACUGAGGAAGUGCAUUCGAAACUGGGUAGCUAGAGUACUAAAGAGGGUCGCGGAAUUCCCGGUGUAGAGGUGAAAUUCGUAGAUAUCGGGAGGAACACCGGUGGCGAAGGCGGCGACCUGGGUAGAUACUGACGCUGAGGCGCGAAAGCGUGGGGAGCAA
rnacentral:rRNA from 1 species